rnacentral:lncRNA from 1 species
UGCCAUCGGGGGUCUGUGGGGAAAUAACUCCGCUAUGUAGGAUUCUGGGGCCGCCAGAUCUGGGGCGGAUGUACUUCGACCUGCUUUCUGGCAGUGAUUACGCAAUGUCAUAUAGUGCCAGUCCACGCUCGCAGCUACAGUAUAAGGGAGAAGCAAGCGAAGUCUCAUCAGUAUUCAUCAUGGAGAACGCACCAAAGAAACAGAAGAAGACGAUGGCUGAUGAAGCAAAGAAGAGAAAAAGAGAGGCCGACAGAGCAAGAGAUCGGACUAGGGUCACAAUCGGAACAGCUUUUACUCGUUGGAGAGAGCUGAAAGACACAUUUGGAUACAAGUUCGAUUCACAGCUAGCCAUCUUUCUGCUGGAUUACGGUAGGGAAUGUCUACUCCCAGCAAGGGACAUGCACAGCCACCACCGCCGCCUGUAUCUAGUAUUUCAGAAGAGUCCGACCGAGAUGGGUAUGUAUCUUAGAACUGCGUUUCUAAACCAGCCAUGCAGGACAUUGUAAGUUGUGACUGACUUAUUUAUCUUUUGAAUCAGGGACAAAGAAUUCGCUAUGCAAGGUGUUCAACCGUUGGGCAAAGAAACCGAAGCGGUUGGUGUGCUAGAAUCUAGGUGAGUUCGUCUUACAACUGCGACCGUAAUGCAUUGUUUUGUUGAUGAAUAUAUUUAUUUAGAUUUGUUUUAUAUUCACAGCAUGCACUCCUUGAGCAUUGCUGAAGAGGAGCAGCAUGACUGGAUGAGGAGGAGGCGAAUUAUAUGAGGAAUAGCAUGUAAGUCUUGCACAUGAAACCAUCUUAGUUAGUGUUCUUUUGUGCUUCAAGUUUAUGGUGUUGUGGGUGUGUGUGUGUUUUGUAAAUCAUUUUUAUUUACAGUAUUGACAUGGAUGAUUGCUGGGAGGAUCCUAAUCAGAAGGGCUUGGAAGAAGAUCGGGACAGCUCUGAUGAAGACUAUAGUCCUUUUCUUCAUCUACGGUAUGUUUCAGUUUCUAGUUGCAUUUCAGGUUGAACUACUGCUAUGUUGAAGGGUGCAAUCACAAAUAUUUUGGUCUUUCAGGAGAAGACAACGUUUUAGGAGAACAUGAUGCAUUUGUUCCUUUUUGAUCUUCAAAUUGAUUCUAUGUACAUAUCUUGCUGCUUUGCAGUGCCCCAGCUAUGACUGCCAACAUCAACCAACUCCUGGAGAUAAGCAUGGAUAAAGCCGUGCUUGAUGUGGCAACACCCAAUCCUCCAGGUGAGGACAUACAAGAAACUCCAGAACAACAAAAAGUUUCAGGUAUGCCCCUAUAGUUAUGCAAAUGCUAGUAUUUGUCAUACAUUUGCACAUACACACAAGCGAUUAUGAUCAUAUUUCUGAACUUUUUUGUCUGUCUUGUAGAACCAUUACAAAUACAAUAAUUGUAUAACUCUGGGUGAUUUUCCAUGUUUGUUUUUUGUGCAAAAUCAGCUGCUUAGGCCUG